GAUGGUGCAGCUGAUCCUGAUGACCAGUACUGUCCAGGAAACAAACACUUCAGUUCAGCCUAAGAUCUCUGCCCAUAUAAGUUGACUGCAAUCAAGCUGCUGAUUGAGCCUGCACUUCCUUGAAUGGCAGCCUCAUUGCCAGUAUCCAUCUUCAUACCACAGCUCACAACACAAUGACAUUAUAGACUGGAAACAGAGUAGAGGACUCUAUGUUUCUGAUGCAAAGAAGGCUACCACUACAUGAUAUAUAUGUGAAUCUAGUCAAAGUUGAUGAGGAAACCACUUGGCAUGGCUUAUGCCUACUGUUGGGAGUCUGUUGGACUUAUAGCCCUCUUCUUGGACUUAUAGCCCUCUUAUCCUUAUCACUGUUGACACUCACUUUGCAGGUUAUGGAGUUGUUGCAAUUUUACCAGCCAACUCUGGUCAUACUACUGUGGCUCUUGAACUAGUCUACAUUAUAUUUUUGCCUUUCCAGACCAUUUGUACUCUGACAAUGGAGAGGCUCUAUUGCAGAAGCCAUGGGUUUUUAGUCAAGCUAUUCCACAGACCUUCCGUGCUCUGGACCCUGCACUGCCUUCUAGUAUUUUUAGCAUUGGAAUGACCGCCUCAAAAAUAAACUAACUUCUGGGUCUUCCACCUCUUGUCUCCUGUCUGACUAUCAUUUGAUCUCCCCACAACUUUACCUAGAAUUGUAUUGGUAACAUCAAAGAUGUCCCAAGAUUCCCAACCUUCCAUACAAAACACCUGUCAGUACCUCAGGAUGUUUUUUCAAGCCCUAUUCUUAUAGCCAUUAUGGUGGCAUGGAAAACGAGGUAGAUUGAAUUAACAGCCCUCAGGCUAAAUAUCAAUGUUGAUGCUCUAAUUCCCAAUGUGAUUGUAUUGGAAAUAGGGGUUCAGGGAGGUAAGUAGGUCAUGAGAGUGGUUUCCUUGUGAAUGGGAUCAGUGCCCUUAUAAGAGGAGACAGAGAGAUGAUGUCUUUCUCCACCAUCUGAGGAUACAGCAGAGGAUAUUGCUGUCUACAAACUAAGGAAGAGGGCUGUCAUCAGAACCUGACCAUCUGGCAUCCUGGUCUCAGACCUCCAGAACUCCAGAUCUAUGAGGAAUAAAUUUCUGUUGUUUAA